UACGGAGGGUGCAAGCGUUAAUCGGAAUUACUGGGCGUAAAGAGUGCGUAGGUGGUUGAUUAAGUUAUGUAUGAAAUCCCUGGGCUUAACCUGGGCAGGUCAUAUAAUACUGAUUGACUCGAGUAUGGGAGAGGGUAGUGGAAUUUCCGGUGUAGCGGUGAAAUGCGUAGAGAUCGGAAGGAACACCAGUGGCGAAGGCGGCUACCUGGCCUAAUACUGACACUGAGGCACGAAAGCGUGGGGAGCAAACAGG
rnacentral:rRNA from 1 species